UUUCUCCCAUUAAUACAAACAUGUUUGCAACUGUCUUUCUUGCCUUUAAAACCACCAGCGCGCCUUUGACAAUUUUCAUGAUUCCAUUGUCUGUUCGGAUCUUACAGCCAAGACUAUCAAAUUGUCCUACGGACAAAAGAUUCUUUUUUAAGUCUUUCACAUGUCGCACUCCUGAAAUAGUACGAAUUAAGCCAUCAUACAUCUUCAAUUUGAUGGUGCCAAUGCCAGAAAUCUCUACAGCAUGAUUAUCA
rnacentral:lncRNA from 1 species